UGCAUUCAAUUGAAAAUAUUUUUUCUUUCUUAUCUAGAAGAUGAAAAUGUUGGACAUCCUUUUUGGAAGCUGAAGAUUGUAAGCAUGAAAAAAUUGAUGGUGGUAUCCUUGGUUGUCAAAAACAAGAAGCUAUCAGCUGAUAUAAUGAUGGGGAGAAUGCUUUGAAAAAACUACUCACAAGAAUUUACAGACUCAUCUUCACAGUGCUGCUUCUUGCAAUAAUUCACAUAUAAUUAAAUUGUUUUGCUGGAAAAAGAUGAUCAACUUGAGAUUAAUCAGGAAAGAGUCUGGGAGAGGAUGAAGAAUACUCUGAAUACCUCUACA